UUCAUAAAAAGUACCUAUAUCAACAAUAACCCCAUAAAAAUAUUCUAAUAACACAAUGUUCUUGUUUUGGCAAAAAUGUAGGAUAAUAAUAAGGAUAAUUUGCAGGCCACACCCUUUGACCAUGUUUUAUUUUCAGGGAUUGGCAAAGUCAAAUGUGGUUUUCACGUUUUGUCUUUUCAGCUGAAAUUUGACCAUUUUACCCUUGCUGCUACAGUUGAGAAACUAUUGAAUGUACGGUUUAGUUAGUCAGGUUUAGUUAGGUACACUGUUCCGGUUUAGUUGGAGAUAUUUUUGUUUCACUUUGAGGAGUGCGGCUGUACAGUUAGAAGGGAGAUUUUUUCUUUUAAAAACUAAAUGACAUCAACAUUUAAUGGCCCAAAAAGUUUAGACGUGACUCUUGUCACAAUUAAUGCAAAAUCAUCAUUACAUGUUAUAAUAUUAUAAAAUUAUUGAUAAUAAUUGUUGAGUUAAAGAUGAACCCAGAAACAAACAUUAAUUGCUAACGUACAUUGAUGUUGAAGAUGUGUUGAUCUUGUUUAUUUACGAAGUUUGGGGUCAAGACAAGCAUUAUCGUGUAAGUAAUGAAGUUUUAAAGAUUUUUU
rnacentral:sRNA from 1 species